UGGAGGAGGAAAUGGGAGGCAGCAGAGGAAGCGAGACCCGGCCAGGCCGCCUCCUGUUUUUCUGGUCAUCUUUACAUCACUCAGCUCUGGGCACGAGGCCUCGUUUCCAGAAGGGCCCUGUCAAAAAUGCACAUCUGUUACUUAGAAGGGUGACACAUUGACCCAGUGACACCGAUCUGCCUGUCAGAUGCACUGGCUGGCUCCGCCUCGAGCAGCAGGGACCAAGGGGAAGGGCACCUGGGACAGGUAAGCUCUGGAGGGGGCCGUGGGAAGGGCUGGGGCCGUGGAGUCCAGGCUUGGGGAAGGGCCAGAGCACUCUGAGAAGCUAGAGGACAGCAAGGAGGUGACAGACACCUGGGGACUCGGACAAGGGGGACAGAUCUCUACCCCCGGAGACCCUUUCACUACACAAUUAGGCUCCAACAGGGUGUUUGGGUAAGCAGGGCCCCUGGGUGAGGCCCUUUGCCUGGUGUGAUAUCAGCACUUGAGCACCUGACGAUGACAUUGGGUGUCCAAGGUGGGUCCUUGGGCAACUUCCUGAUGGGACAGUCCCUUGCUUUUGGCAUCAGAUAAGCAUUACAUUCAAGCUGGGCGUGGUGGUGCACACUGUAAUCGCAGUGACUUGGGAGACCGAGGUAGGAGGAUCACGAGUUUGAGGUCAGCCUCAGCAAUUUAGUAAGACCAUGUUUCAAAAUAUAAUGAGGGCUAGGACAGGCGCAGUGGCACACGCCUGUAACCCCAGCAGCUCUGGAGGCUGAAGCAGGAGGAUCUCGAGCUCAAAAUCAGCCUCAGCAGUGGCAAGGUGCUAAGCAACUCAGUGAGGCCCUGUCUAAAUAAUAUACAAAAUAGGGCUGGGGGUGUGGCUCAGUGGUUGAGUGUCCCUCAGUUCAAUCCCUGGUAUUGAAUAAAUAAUAAGGGCUAAGGAGGCAGCUCAGGGGUAAAGCACACCUGGGUUCAAUCCCCAGUAACAAUAGAAAAAAAGAAAUUAGGUCACGCAUAGUAGGAAAGCAAAGUACAUGAGAGUAGGGCGGAUGUUUCUCUCAUAUAAGAGAAUUCUGGAGGCAGACAGUCCUGGGCAUUUUCAGAACAAGAUUAAAGGAAUGGAGAUAGGUAGGGACACUCUCCUGACUCAAGUUCCAGGCAGUUCCCCAGGCAGAAUCCCCUGGAGCUUGAUAAAUGUCCCCUGCCUAGGCUUCCUUCCCUGUCCCAGUCCUGCUCUCUGGAUCUCACCUCCCAGAUCCUUCUCCUGGGGCCUCCUGGGGGCGGGGAAGCCAACCCAGUGCUUCCCCAAGGGAUGGAGCACUCUGGCAGCCCCGCUCCUUCCUUCCUGGACCUGGGAAGUGGCCUGGGUCCUCAGGCCCCAGGUUAGGGACUUGCCCAGUCACUCACCACCAGAGCAAGGUUGGAACCAGGCUGGGGGUUGGGUGGUUCUUCCUUAGGACAGACUCCCGAGCCUGAGCGCCUGGGCCGUCUGAGCUGGCCCUGUCUAGGCUUUGGCCUGUUGGGGCAAACUGCCCCUGAGUUAGGUCAAACCUGGUUGUUCCCCCACCCCCACACUAGGGUGCUCCCGCCCUGUGUCUUUUAAAGACAAGAAGCCUCCGCGUUGGCCACCCGGGGCUGCACCUAGCAGGCCUGCAGCGUGGUGGGGAGUUGGAUUGAAGAGGCGUGAAACCGCGGGCCAGCUCCUGACCCAGCAGGACAGCUGCUUCCUCGGGCCCUCCCUGCUUUGCUGGGCCUGCAGCUGCUGCCCAUGUCCCCUCCCUGGAGCCGGUGGGCGGAGGUGCGUGGGUGGGCAGCUGGGGAGGGAGAGGAAGGGUCGAGGAGGAAGGGCACCUGGCCGGGAAGAGGGUGGCUGGGGCUGGGGAGGGAAGCUUUGAUCCCGCAGCUUUGGUCCUUUCCGCCACAUUCUUCUCCCGGCAGAAGCACGGUGGCUGGGGGAUGGGCUGGACCCGCGCCAGCCCUCCCCUCCAUCUGUUCCCCUGCGAUGUUUGUGGAGCCGGCCAGGCACUCCCCCAACCCAGGCGCGCCAAAUGCCUGGGGUGGCCCGGAGGCUUGUGGGCAGCUGGAGGGAGGCAUUGGAAUCCUCCUCUCAGGAGCACAAGCAACUGCUAUUUCAGAUGUCCCCUGGAGAUCAGGGAGGGCCAGGCUCUGGGAUGGGGCUGUGAGGGCCUGACCCCUCUCUAAUAAAACUCCCCCACUGGGCUUUACAGUUUUCCAAACACUUUCACAUGAGGAACUCCUUUGAUCCUUCCACAGCCGGAGCCCGGGUAUCAUUAGCCCCAUUUUACAGAUGAGGAAGUGGAGGCUUUGAUUAAAAUGAGGGUUCCAAGUCACAUGUUGCAACUCAAGAUCUCUGCAGCUCACCCACUAAUGCUCACAAUCAUGGUGAUAACGAUGCUCAUGGAGCAUUAUCACGUGACAGGCACCGUGUGAGCAUUUUGUACAGUUGUGCGUCUCUGUCCUCAAAGAGCCCUCUUAGGUACAGGGUCACCUGUGCCUGGCAGAGAUGACUUUUGAACCUAGAGAGACUGCUGGGCUCCAUACCCGGGGAUUGCAAGUGUGGUCCCAGGACCAGGGGCAUCAGCUGGGCAUUUUUUGUUUGGUUUGGUACCAGGGACUGAACCCAGGGGCCCUUUCCCACUGAACAACAUCCCCAGCCCUUUUUCAUAUUUUAUUUAGAGACAGGGUCUCACUGCUUUGCUUAGGGCCUCCCAAAAUUGGUGAGGCUGGCUUUGAACUCAUGAUCCUCCUGCCUCAGCCUCCCAAGCUGCUGGGAUUACAGGCGUGUUCCACUGAGCUUAACUCAGCCGGGCACUUGUAAGAAACAUACCUUCUUAGGUCCCACCCCAGGCUUACUGAAUUAGAACCUUGGAGUGAGGCUCAGCCCUCAGAGUGUAAGGUCUACCUUUCCUCCAGGUGAUUCCAAUGUUUGUUUUACAGUACUGGUUUGAACCUAGGGCCUCACAUAUGCUAGGCAAGUGCUCUACCAGUGAGCUACACCCCCAGCCCUUUGGGCUUUUUCUUUUAUUUUGAGACAGGGUCUUGCUGAGUUGCUGAGGCUGGCCUCAAACUGGCCAUCCUCCUUUUUCAGCCUCCCAAGAUGCUGGGAUGACAGGUGUGCACUACCUCGCCUGGUUUCUGGUGCACUUUCAAUUUGGGAACCGCCAUCCAAACACAUUCUUUUAAUUCAGUGGAUUUCAAUCCUGGCUGCACAGUGGAAUCGCCAGGGGAGUUUUAAUAAAUACCACUGUUGAGCCAGAACCAGAAUCUCUGGGUCGGGGCCCAGACAUUAACAUUCUUUGACCCUCCCCCUUCCGCUAAUGCGCGCUCCUCUGUCUUUGGCAUUCUCUGAGGGCAGUGAGCCCUUCGUGGUUGCACACCCGACCAGCGUGUCCUAGAGCACAGAGCGAGGCAGCCUGUCCCAGAGACCCCUGAGGGAUUGAAAGGGAGACCUGGGGGUGGGGGCUCAGCCCCUCCUCCGUGCGAUACCUCCACACCGGCCCAGGAAGCCAGCGGAGGCCCAGAGACCUGGGCUGUUUGUCUUGGCACUUGCUCAAGCAGGCAGUUUCGCGUGCAGCUCCUUUGUUUGUGUGGUUUCACUGUUGGCCCAGUUUUUCCAGGGCCAGGUAGACAUCCCUGUGGAAAGCACGUCCAUUUCUGUUCCCCAGGAUCCCCCCAGAAACGGUGAGGCUGUCAUUUCCCUUAGCACAGAGACAGUCAGGAGUGUGGGUCUGGCUCCUGCUUCUGUCACUCUGAGCCUUGGGCUUGAGGAUUCCCUGACAUCACCCGUCAGGGAGGCCUGGCCUGUUGUCAGUCAGGGCCCUGCCAGGAGACAGGAACCUCACCAGUCACUUUAGCAGGGAGCAUCUAAUAUGCAGGAUUGUUCAAUAGGUUAGACUACAGGAAGGACUAAAGAGGCCCAGGAGACCGCUGAAACAUCAUGGAAGUCACCCACAGGAGCUUCAAGGGCUUCCCGGGGACUGGAGGGACAAGGGAAGAGGCUGGAAUUGUUGAAAACUAGUAACCUGUAGGACAAGCCAGGAGCCGGAGCCCAGAGCUCUGUGGGGCGGAGCCAACUGGUGCUGGUGACCUGGGAGGAAACCGGAGGCUGCUUCUUGGAGAACUGGAAAAAAACAAAACAAAAAACCCCAAAAAACAACCUGCAGGCAACUGUAGCUUGAAUGACUGCUGAUGUCAGGUGGCAAAGCAAGGCCGAGGAGGUGGGGAGAUGAGGGCCGCUGGUGACUGGCCGUCCCAGUUCGCCUCGUCCUUAGAGACCCUCAGGCCUUCCCUGCAGGCUCACCCGCCCCUGUUUUUCAGUUUUCUUUGUUGCUUGUUCAAUCAAUGCAAUUAUUGAUCACCUCUUAGGCCACUGCCCUGGGUCUGGUGUCAUAGCACCCAAAUUUAUUGAACAAUGUAUGUGCCUGACUGUAUUCUGAGCAUCUCAUAUGCUUUAACUCAUUUGCCCUCAUUUGAUAGAUGGAGAAACUGAGGCACAGAGAGUCACAGAGACUUUAAAAAACGGAUCAGAGUGCAGAAUGGGGAGGGUGCCACGGACAUGGGAACUAAUUUAAUCAAUUAAUUAAUUACUUGAAUAAACCUUCAGGCAGGCACGGUGGUGCUCCCCUGUGGUCCAGAUAUUUUGUAGGCUAAAGUAGGAGAAUCAGUUGAGCCCAGGAAUUCAAGGACACCUUGGGCAACAGAGAGAGACCCCAUCUCUCAAAUAAAUAAAUAAAUAAAUAAAUAAAUAAAUAAACAAACAAAUCUGCACCCUGGAAAGCAAAACCAGAUGUUCCACCUGCUCUUGGGAAGCUUCUAGUAGAAACAUUAUGUAAAAUUUUAUGCCCAGCCAGGCACCGUGGUGCUGGCCUGUAAUCCCAGGGAUGUGUGAGGCUGAGGCAGAAGGAUCACAAGUUCAAGGCCAAUUUAGUGAGUGAGACCCUGUCUCAAAAUAAAAAAUAAAAAGGGCUAGGAUGUAGCUCAAUGGUAGAGCACCCUUGGGGUCAAGUUCCAGUACUAAAAAUAGUAAUAAUAAUAAAAAAAUCAUGCCCAAAAGAGUAAGCCUCGAUAAACAGACUGUUGCUAUGAAAACUUAUCACAGGGAUUUGCUGUAAACACGAAAAUAAGAGAGGCUGCUUCCCAGAGAAAACAAUACUUGAGCUGGGACAGAAAAGAUGAGUGGGGCCUGGUGCAGUGUAAUCCUGUCAUCCCAGCCGCUUGGGAGGCUGAGGCAGGAGGAUCUCGAGUUCAAAGCCAGCCUUAGCAAAUUAGUGAGGCCCUAAGCAAUUCAUUGAGACCCUGUCUCUAAAUAAAAUACAAAAAAAAAAAAGGUUGGGGAUGCUGCUCAGUGGUUAGGUACCCCGGGUUCAAUCCCCAGUACCCCCCCCCAAAAAAAAAAAUCGAGCAGAGAUAAUCAAAUGAAGAAAAGAAGAAAGGGUUCCAGGCAGAGGGAACGGCAUGUGCAAAGUUUCUGGGGUGGGCGGGGGGGUUGCAUGGUGAGUGUGAGAGCUUCCAAAUCCUGCUCUUGAACUCUGGCCAGCUGACUUUGGCCAGCCCUCCCAGUCAUUGACCCACCUGUCAGAACCCCCCUCCUCAUCUCCAGUUUGGAGCCCUAUAGUCAACUCUCCCCUCAUGCAUCCCACAUCAUGCUGGCAGCUGGUCAUCACCUUCUAGUGUGUGGGUCCUGGGUGCUCUCACAACUCCAGGCCUCGGAAGACCCCGAAGCUGGUCUAGAAACAGUUAGGGAUAGUCCUAUGGGAUAUGGGGGCAGAGCAAGCCCUCAGUGAGGCUCUGGGGAGUAACUGAGUGCAACAUGUAAAUGACCAUUGUAAAAAGAAGCCUCCAGGGAGAUGAGGAUGGGGGUGGGGGUGGUACAAAUUGUCACACACACCCCAGCUUCCACUGGGAGUCUCUGAGCACUCAACACAUACCAAUUAACUCCCACCCCUGACCGCGGGUGGUUAAGGCAGUGAUUAAGCCCAUUUUACUGGGCAGGGAAAGGCAAAGGUGAGGCUGGAGAGGAGCACUUCUGUCUGGAGGCGGCUCCUCAUCCUGACCCUUUUUUUCUUUUUGUUAAGGUACAGGUAAUCGGGGCUGGGGAUGUGGCUCAAGCGGUAGCGCGCUCGCCUGGCAUGCAUGCGAUCCGGGUUCGAUCCUCAGCACCACAUACAAACAAAGAUGUUGUAUCAACGGAAAACUAAAAAAUAGAAAACUAAAAAAUAAAAAUUAAAAAAAAAAAAAGGUACAGGGAAUCGAACCCAGGGCUUCACCUAUGCUGGGCAAGCGCUCUGCCACUGAGCCACAUCCCCAGCCCUUUUUCACUUUUUUGCUUUGAGACAGAGUCUCCCUAAAUUGCUGAGGCUGGCCUUGAGCUUGUGAUCCUCCUGUCUCAGCCUCCCCAGUAGCUGGGAUUAUAGGGGUGGGAUUAAGCCACGGGGCACGACUUAAACGGACUCUUUUGGGAGGCAGCUGGGUCUUUGGAGAAUCAGCCCCCAAACCCUAUCUAGCCUCCUAAAGGAUCAAAAGAGGAAGAGACAGAACAGAGGGAAGAAAGGGCCUCUCUCUGCCCUGUUUACAGAAAACAAAGUGCCUUUGGGGGACUCUGGACUGGUUCCCCAAAGUAAUUAGAGCACACAGUCGGUGCUCCGCUGAGGCUCCCGCCCUCUCGUGGAGCCCCGCCCCCACGGAGCCCCGCCCCCACGGAGCCACGCCCCACAGAGCCCGCCCUCCACGGAGCCCCGCCCUCCACAGAGCCCCGCCCUCCCGCAGCCCUAGGGGGCCCCAGCUGGUCCGUGGGUCUGCAGGCCUGGCCUGUCCCCACCCCCACCCCGGCAGGCCAAGUUUCCACGGGCCCAGCCUAAUCAAGCGUUGAGGGCUGUGUCAUCCUCCCGGCUCCCUGGGAACAUGGGGAGGAGGAGCCUCUCUGAAAGGGCUCCUCUGAUUCCCAAGGAAAGUGAAGGGAGCCCCUCCCUUCCUGACCCCCCCGCCUGGGGUGGCCUUUCAGCAGAACCAGCGGACCAGACAUUCGGCACAAAGAUGAUCUGGAGUCCCUGGACCUCCCUCCGGGGCAGGGUGAGGGCGUGUCCUCCAAUCCCUGUGGGGUUGAGGGGCCCCAGGAGGCGCCACCCGUGUGCCAGGAGGAGGGCAGGGGUCCUGGGCGGAGUGGAUAUGGCCGGGACAGGGGGUCUCGGGCAGGGACUAGGUGGCUGACAAAGAGGUGGCCUUCGUGAUUUGUGACACCACUCGCAGGUCCCCUCGCAUCAGCCUGAUGUCCUGCUCUGCGGGGUGGGAAUGGGACUCCUCCUUCCCCACCUGGGCCUCCCCUGCCUCCCGUCGCUGGCAGGUCUGAGGGUGAGUCGGGGCGGCUCACAGGAGCUCAGAGGAGCCGACUGAGCCCUUCAGGAACUUUGUGAGCUUUGUGACAGACACUGCUGUCAUUAAAAAUUAAAUUAUUCGGACCAGGGCUGGGGAUGUGGCUCAAGCGGUAGCGCGCUCGCCUGGCAUGCGUGCGGCCAGGGUUCUAUCCUCAGCACCACAUACAAACAAAGUGUCUGCCGAUAACUAAAAAAUGAAUAUUAAAAAAGAAUUCUCUCUCUCUCUCUCUCUCUCUCUCUCUCACUCUCUUAAAAAAAAUUAUUCAGACCAGUGUUUCUCAACCUUUUGUUCAUUAUUGCUUUUUUUUUUUUUUGUACCAGGGAUUGAACUCAGGGGCACUCGACCACUGAGCCACACCCCCAGCCCUAUUUUGUAUUUUAUUUAGAGACAGGGGCUUACUGAGCUGCUAGCACCUCACUUUUGCUGAGGCUGGCUUUGAACUGGAGAGGCUCCUGUCUCAGCCUCCAGAGCUGCUGGGAUUACAGCCCUGGGCCACCACACCCCAAUUCAUUAUUUUUUUUAAGGUGCCAUUUUGGACGUUUCUGUGUUUCCCCACUCCCCUGCCCCCAUCUCCUAUCAACAUAGGCUCCCCUCCUCCAUGAAACUUUAAUAUCACAGAUAUAUCCUGUAUCUGUUUAUGUACUGGAUGUAUAUCUGUGCUUUGUGCCUAAAAGGAGUUCUUUUGUCCCCCAACAAAAACUCAAUUUUUGUCAAGAAUGUGUGUCAACUCAGAAUUAAACAAAUUAUAUUACAAACAAAGGUAAUGUGGAGCUCUGUGUGGGGUGCAAGUCAGUGAUCCCGACUUGGCCUUGAAUUUUCAAUCCUCCUGCCUCAGCCUCCUAAGUCACUGGGAUUACAGACGUGUGCCAGUGUUUGUAAAUAGCGAUUGCUUGUUUCUUGCUCAAACAGAGCACACACUUUUCUACACCUUUAGAGGUCAGGAUUGAGAACCCCCCUCCCCCCAAUCUCCUCCCAGCAUCUCAUAUCUAGAGACCCCUGUGGACUCCUUUCUGAAUGGCAUGCCAAGCUCUCUGGGAGACAUAGAGGCCUGAGUGGCACUGCCUGGCCCAAGGAGAGGGACACAAAACUUGCCAUGAGAUAGACCUGUGCAAGCAUUGAGUCACUCCCCGCUCCAGGCCUCGGCUUCUCCUUCAGUGAAAUGGGAGGAGUAGGCUGAGCUUCGUGGACCCCCAGCUCUCAAUGUCUGGCUUGGAAAGUCAGUUCCUCUUCUUCUAUCUGGAUAAGCUAAGAGGCCCCCCCUCUGACCUCUCCGUCCCCUCAUCUCUCAUCAGCUCAGCAGGAUGGCCUUCUCCAACUCAGCUGGCUCCAGCUGUCUCUCCUGCAAAAGGUGAUACGCAAGGGGACAGUGUGAACCCAAAUGCUGUGACAUCCCUUGUCAGCUGGCAGAUGGUGAGCCUUUAACAGCUGAUCCCAACACCCUUCUCCUCAUCUUUAAAGCAGGAACAAGGCCUGCAGUGCCUGGACUGAGGUAAGGUCACACAGCUGACGUGACACACACACACUAGGUCCUUAUGAGGGCUGAAUUCAUGAAUUUGUCCAAGCUCCCUGUGCCUGUACGACUAUGUGGGGACAGGGCCUUUAGAGGGGUAAUUAAGAAAAUGAGAGGGUGAGAUCCAGGGAGGUGUGUCUUUCCUGUGUCC
rnacentral:lncRNA from 1 species